GUGCUCGCUUCAGCAGCACAUAUACUAAAAUUGGAAUGAUACAGAGAAGAUUAGCAUGGCCCCUGUGCAAAGUUUGGGUCUCAUGAUUUUAUUGUUGACUCUUGUGGUU